GCGUGUCACCGGAAGUGACGACACUGAGCACGCCAUUAAAAAGCACUAGACCGACUUCGCCGCUCUCUCGGCCUUAGCGCCAUCUUCCUUGACACCCCUGCGCCAUGAGAGCGAAGUGGAGGAAGAAGAGAAUGCGUAGGCUGAAGCGCAAGAGAAGAAAGAUGAGGCAGAGGUCCAAGUAAACCCGCCUGUCCACCCACGAAGGCCGAAGGAGCAGAAGUAAGGGACGCUGGAGGCCGGGACGCUGGGACAAGUUGGACUGAGCUGCAGUCGGAAGAAGUCUCUGGACCCGAGACCUCGCCACCUGCGCGCAGAGACCACCGAGAGACCGCCUGCCGCCAUGACAACAACCCCGCUGGCCCUUUGCCCUGGACCUAUGGCGUUCUGGACUAGUUCUGUCCUCACUUGUGGCCAAUUGUAACUUGUGUACAAUAAACCAUCUUUGUCGCUGUCAGCUGAA